GGCGGGACACGCCGCACACGCUCCUGGCGGGGCCUCGCCACAGGAUGGCACUCCUGGGUGUAUUUUAAAUGCAGCCACACUCGCUCCAGCAUUUUAACUCUCUCCUGGCACAGCGUCAAGCGAGACAGCGCGAAUCAGAGGCGGUGCAUGGCCACCGAGAAUGGCCGUGUCUCUGUGUUGAGCCGAAUGAGGCCUGUGUGCGUGGAGACGGGGCUGUGUGGGUGUCCUGCACCCGCCAUCACGCGGGGCGGGCAAACAGUGCCAACCCCGCGCGGUGAAAAAGGCAGAAUGUCUUCAUCUUGGACGCCCUUAUUACAGCGGUAACAUCUUCUCCAGCAGUAUGCUUCUUCAAAUGCCGAGUCUGAGAUUUACACCACAUCUUUCUUUCAUCAAUAAUUUCCUUUCUCCCUCUGAUAGAACUGCUGCCAGCUCCAUUCAUCCCCCACCAAACACUCCCCAUGCCACAGGAGGACUACAGCUUGCUAGGCCCUGCUACCAGCCAAAAGCAACCACAGAGGGAAUGCAAAUGUUAACAAAUUUGGUUUAUUUACGUUUUUCAUUAAUUUUGAAGCAGUGCACGUUACCACCUUAAGGAUACAGGGUGUUAUCCCCAGUCUCGUAUUAACUGCUGUUUCCUUUAAAAAAUAGCUUCUGAUAAAUAAGGCAAAAUGUGAUUUAACAGUUCUUUGCAACAGUUUCUUACCUAAUAGCUAUAGAAAACAAGUUGAGAUUACAUUACCAAACUUUAAGGUUAAGUCCUAUCACAAAGGUCAAUGAAAAAGAAUGAGCACCUAUCAGAUAUUUAGAACUGCUUGAAAAUGAAAGCCCCCUUUGGCAUAUAUCCUGUUUUUCAGAGUGUGAUCCAUGGUUGCUUAGUUUUCUGUAGUAUUAUUUUUUGAAUCAUUUAGGGUUGGCCAGACUGUAAACAGCAACACAAGGUACUGAAUACUAAUGGAAAGAUGAAUCGCGCACUUUCUUGAAUAUGAAAUACGUGAUAUUUUACAUAUAUGCAAAUUCUUAACCUGAUCCUCAUUCUAUUAAUUUAAAUAUUUUCUUAUGUAAUGUGGACUGAAUUUGACCCAUAACAUUUUCAUCUAUUAAAAAUAAUUAGAGAAAAUCUUAAGCUGAACUUAAUGCUUGGGUAAACAGUCUGAUACCACAACUGCAUUUUUCAUCCCCAGAGCAGAAGAGACUUAUUAAAGACUAUUAACAUAUGCUUCUCUCUUCUGAAGAGUUUGGUUCAGUCCAGAGGGUUCCCAGGACAAAAUCCCAGUACCAACUUCAGCUGUUGAGAGCAAGAGCACUGCUAUGAAGCAGGACAUUCAUGUGACACAUAGAACUUCGGUGAAAAAGCAUCUUAUGCCUGAAGUCAUAAGGACAGUUCAGACUUACCUUACUUUACCUUUAGCUGAGAUUGGUAAUCAAGUUGCUAAUUACUGUCAUAGGUUUCAGCUUUCAUAGGUAUUUAAUAAUGUAUUACAUUUGAAAACAAUGCAAUUUAUUUGCCCCAAAAUCUUCUGGAAUAUGAGCUAUAAUCAGCUUGGAAAGAGGGAAAGAUGGAUCCUAGUAUCUGGAAUAUCCCUUUCUGGGGUAUCAUUUUAAUUUGAAUAGGCAGCCUCUUAUUCAGAGAAGCUAUCCAGAAUAUUUGACUAAACUCUGUCAUUGUGUUCACACAAUCUCUCCAGAUUUUCUCUCUUGACAUUACUCACAUUCAAAGCAAUGUCUUCUGCCAGAGUGGGUCGGUGCUCCACUUCCCCAGCUGAUUCCCUCAGUAACCAGACUCCAAACCAGAAGGCAACUGCAGUGUCUCCCCUUAAAAUACUGUGUUCUAAAAUUUCCCAUCUCUUGAGGAAAUAAGGACUAGGCCAAGGAGAAAAGCUCCAGCUGAUAGAAACAUAGCUCAACAAUCAGCAACACUGAGAAAGGCAACACGACUGCAGAAUGUGAAAUAGCAGAUAAAUGAGAUUUAGGUGAAGUUUCACACAUCUAUCCUUCUCCCUGUGUGUGACAGAAGCUCUUUAAUGAUGUUGUCAGGGCCCCUAGAUGGAGUAAGAGUCUCAAUGUAUAUGGCCACUUAUCUGUCAUCCUUUAUUUUACACACGCAGUUCUUAAAGAUAUUCUGCAACUCCAAGACAAAAUAAAGAGUUUCAAGGCAAAAUAUAGAUGAAUGAACUGUGGAAAAUUAAACUUGGGGAAGAUCAGGACCUUUACAAGACAUGCAGUAUGAUACUACUGUCAACUUCAUUUAUCAGAAAUUGAGUUCAACCUCCUCAAAUAAUACACACUGAGAGAACUGAUUCAUUCUUUCCUUUGUGCCAUAGUGAUGUCAAUGAGUUCAAACGAGUUACUUUCAAUUUAUUCCCUGUCAAGAAAGGAGACAUCCAUCUAUCCAUCCACAUGGACCAAAGAAAAGCCUGAGCAGACAGAGAACUUCUGUGGAAUUAGCCUACACUUUUCUCGGUUAAAGGGCCAAACACCCUGCUAGAAAACAUCUGCAGCCAAAAAUAUUAUCACAGAUACAACUCAGUCUGAAUUCAGCCUAGGAAUGCCUUGAUUUAGCACAAGGAAAAUGGCCUUUGUAAAGCUACUGUGUAUCACAAACACUAAUGCCAGAAAGCUGAAUGUUCAUUGUAUAGAGACCCAGAACUGUAUUAAUAACAAUACCCACUGAGGACAUUAUAUUGCAGUCUCUUCACACUUAUAAAGGCAGGAAAUUAUUUUUAUAGCAAACAUCUUCUGUUUUCACAAUUUGUCCUAGCAUACCAGAUACUAGCAGUAUGAAAUCUUCCACUAAGACUUAAUGAAAAUAAAACUAGAUGCAGUAAAAUAUUAUAUAAUGGCUAAGCCAAAGCUUUUCUCUGAAUAUUCUGGGUAUUCUGAAGUUGAUCUAUAUUACUAGAGUUACACAAACUUUUCAUGUAACUGAACACAAAUGAGCAUGCAAGAAAACACUCUCUGGGAAUUACAGGAGGAGAGGACUAUAAUAAAAUUACAUCAGGUCCCACAUUCUGACUUUCCUUCUGGGGGCUGUUUGCUGUCUUCACCCUGAAGAAUCCCGUACCACUGGCUGUGGCUGGAUCCACAGUGGGCUUAUUUGUAAAAGUUACUGGAGACAGGAAUGAAGAAUGGCUGGAGACAGAUCAGACUUUCUGUGUCAGGUUGUGAUGGAGACCAUUGUUUAGGCAGGAAGAUGGUGCAGACUGUGUGGUUAAGGUGGAGGAAAACUGUGUAGUGCCUACUCAUUCUCCUGAACUAACUUAAUGAUGGCUUAAAAACCAGGACAGGGUAAAAGAAGAUCAGCAAAAUUCCCAACUUGGCAGAUGAAAUGGAGGAGUUCAAAACAUGAGGAGGAAUUUAUUUACUGCAGGGGUUUUUAAGCCUUGGAACUGGCUGCCCAGGAGUUAGUCGGUGGAGUUGCCACCCCUGGGGGUAUUCAAGAAAUGCCUGGACAUGAUACUAAGUGCUUUGGUCUAGUUGACAAAAUGGUGAUGGGUCAAAGUCUUUUCCAACCUAAAUAAUUCUGGGAUUCUGUGAAUGUAAUGCUACAACACAAAUACUGGGCAAAAUAGUCCAGCUUAUCCUGUCAGGAAUCUGCAAGUACACAAAAACUGUCCUGCAGUCUAUAGAGAAAACAUGCAUGUAUGGACUGAGCUCACAUAUAACUCCUCUGGAAUAAUUGGUUCAAGUCCAGAAUGGAGACACAGGGCAUCAAGUUGAAGGUCCUUAGGAACAAAGGACCACAAUCACCAAACUCACUGACAAUUGCUCCAAAGAUGACUCGUUACUUCUUUUCCCCUUUGCCACAUAAACAGGAUGUCAUAUGGAAAAAAAACCCGAGAGGCUGACCCUUAAUGUGACAGGCAUUAAUUCACACUGCUUAAUGCACUCUGACACAUUAGAGAGGUGCUCAUGUGACAUCAGGGCAGACCCAGUAAAAGACCCAAACAGGACAAUCAGAACAGCCCAAGGAAAGGGAACAAAGGCUCAACUAUAAGAGAGACUUAGCCCGAAAAAAGGUGAUUGGAACCAAGAGAAUAACAGGAAAAGAGAGAGCAGACAAGGGAAUAAGGAUUGCAGAGAAGUCAGAGAUAAAGAAAAUGCCGCAGAUAAUGACGUGAAGCUGAGGAAGGGACAGGGAAAUAGUAAUGGAGACUUAACACAGCUACAGAUUGAGGGGAAAAACAUAAGGCUGAAUAAAGAUAAAGCUCUCACAGAAAGAAUUAGAAGACACAGUGAUUCUAUGAUCACCAAGGAAAGCCUAACAUGUUUCUGUGCCUGGAUGCCAUGGAUAAACAGCAGCAAAUAAACCUUGCCAAGAUGGCAUUUUCCUGGCAGUAAGGGGUGCUGAGCAGGAGUUAUGUUUGCUGAGAAUGUACUCAGGUGCUCCAAAACCUGCUCUGAUGCACUGGCAAUGAAGUAAAGGACAAUACUCUCCUGUUUGACUUGAAAAGGCAUCUAUCUCUUGUGCUGAUAUUUAUACCUAAGGGAAGACUAUUGCUACUGCAACAGGUCUACUGCUACAGGAAUUCUGCAAAGCAAUCAGCAAGUAGUCUGCAAUUAUCUCUUUCUAUACCCAGCACAUCAUCACAAGUACCUACAUUUACCUACAGAGUUUCUCUUUUCAUUAUUUCCAAUUUUAGAAAUUGUCAGCAGAAAUAAGAAGCAUAAAAUUAGUUUAUAUUCAUUGUGAAUUAACAAGGUUUCCCAGCUUUUAGGAUUUCGGCAUUCAGAAUUUUGCAUAUCUCCUGCUUUUGGGAUUUUUGUCACAUAUUGCAUCCCACAUUUGGACAUUUAGCAGAUUCAGAGGUGUGGCAACAAUAAUUUGUAAAUGUUAUUAUUAUUUAUUUACAGUGUUAACUUAGGUAAAGAGGAACGCUUAAAAUUGCAGGAAUUUUUCUUUGAAAGAUAAUAUCAUAGAUUUUUCAAAUUUAUCUACUUUUGUUAUGAGUCCUUAAGAAGAAUUUCCUGUUUUUCUGAAGCACAAGGCUGGACUGGAUUAUAUUCCAUCCUGUUUGACAAAUAAUUGCAAUGACUGAUAAUGAUUUUUCACACUCUGAUAAUUGUAUUUAAACUGUCACUUUAAAAUGCUUAGAGACAUUUUUAUAAAAGAAAGACUUUCCACACAUAGGGUAUUUUCCCAGAGUUCUAUAGAAUUAUAAGAAAGUCAUAUAUUUGCAAUUUUGAAGACUGUUGGCUAAAUAUCUGCAAAGAAAUCUUAUGAAUAUGAAAUAAUUUCACAGAGAAAAUUAUUUGAUAUGCAGUGGUAAUACUCAAGGUGCAACAUAUGUAGUGAUAUUCUGGUAAAAGGUGGUAAACUGUCAUAUCCUCUGUAAUUUUUGCCCGGAUAAUUUAACUAGUUUCAGGAGAAACUCUGCAAGAAAGAAUGGCUCUCAAAAUAUGAUUUUUGCCUAUUGCACACCGCCUGCUUUGACAGUAAAACCCAGUCUGCUGCUGAAGGUUUCAGCAAAAAAACUGCUUUUGUACUGAGAAAUGAAUUCACGAAGCGAGGCCAGGAGAUGAACCUGUGUCUGUGUCUGCAUUAAAGGCAGCAGAAACAAACAGUGCACUGUGUGUGAUAAGUGUAGCUGCCUGUUAAACGAUAUCUCAUGACUGCCUAUGCUAAUGGGCACCUCCGGGUAAAAAAGAUGGUGCUAAUAAAGCCUCUGCUCUGCUUUUCUUGGAACAAACACUUCUGGCACUCAAAGCAGCUCUCUGCUUCCAUCCUCAUACACCUUCAGCCUGUAGCCAAGAGCAGCUCUCUGCAAUUUAUUAAAAUAGCUCUUUAAAGAACCCCUCAAAUAUAGUCUUUCCAAGCAAUUUUCCCCUAGUAAGUCUGGGCCAGUGUGCCAGGGCAGGCCAGGAGAGCACAGCUGAAAGACAAGGAUGGUUUGAGUGACAGGAGGUGCUAUGCACUGGGAGUGGAGCAGAACUGUCUUUGAGCUUUUUCUUGUUAUAUUCUACCCUAAACAAAGCAGCUCAGAUGCAGCAGAAAGGUUUUUUUCCCCAUGACCCCUUUUUCUUUUUUUGUCUAAUUACAGUUGGGUGGUGCAUAAUGACUUUCUGUAGGGGGAAAAAGAAAAACCCAAUCCAAAACAGUAGCUGACAUGAGCAAGAGGUCUGAUAUUAACCCUUUCAAGGGCAGUGCUCAAUUCAGCAGCUCUAUGUUUAGCAGCUCUUUUUUGGACAGUCAUUGCUUGAAUACCUGUCAGGUGAAUGAAUAACUUCUCCCAUCGAUAAGAGAAGCCUGUCUGGGAGAGCAGCAGUCUACUCAAAACAAUGGAAGAAAACUGUACUUGAUGGUGAAAAGACACACAAACCAGCCUAUUCCAGAGCAGCAGGCAUCAUUCCUUAAGUUGCACAGAACCCAAUACUUAUGAUGACAUCUUAAGUUUCUCCUUUUAUUUUUUUUUCCUUAAGAAGAGGUUGAUACAGUAUCAGUCUUUAAACAAGAUCAGCAAAUUACUCCUACCAGGUUAUCAAUGGAGACCAGAAGCUAAGUCCUGUCCAUGGGUGAUUUGGCACAAGCUGGCAAACUACAUAGCAUCUGCACUAAUUAUGAAGAGAACCAACAGUUCCACAAAAGCAGAUCUCAGCUGAUAAAUCAGAGGCGCAAAAUUAAAAUUAACAACCAGUAUAUUUUCAGCCAGACAGACACUCCCAGCAAUGAGGCUAUUGUUAGCCUUUAGGUUUUUUUCAUUUGCUUUGCAUGCAGUUGAGUACAUACUUUGCUAUCACUGUCCAUUUAAUUGGAUACUUUUGUCACCUGAGACUACUGUAUUUUGCUACCAUGAAAAUGAACUGAAAAUGUCAUCCUCCUAAACAUAAGAUUUUAAAAAAUAAACAACUGAAUACAACAUAAUAGCAUCUUUAAACACAGUUGCUCCUGAAUGGGAGAAGCCAGCUGCUGGGCAGGUACUAAACCCCCCUGGGUUUUGUGUCUGGCAGACUUCUUAUAAUGUAAUACCAAGCCUUCAAUUCAUACUUCAGCUAAGGACAUAUUAAAAAUACUAGAAGUGUGCUACAAAAGUGAUUAAACUAUCAGUUCUGUGGCUUAUAGCACAGUAAAUACAGUCCAAAAUAUUUUCCAUCACAACUUGGCCUCUCCAGUAUGUAUGGACAGCAUUAGCUAAACAUUUCUGUAACACAGACAGACGUAAACCCAAAACUAGGGACUUAACAGGGCAGUAAAUUUCUAUCUACAGUGAGCAUUUUUUAACAUACUUACCACUGUAUGUAGCAUAGCCAGGUUGUCAUUCUAGUCUAUAUGGGAGGACUAAAACUCACUUGUUUUCUCUGUGUUGGUUCUCUCCCUACUGCUAUUGCUGAGAAGAGUGCCCUUGGUUAGGUUACUUUUUUAGGUUGGUGUGGAAAGAUCUAGUAAAGCACAUAUACCCCAACGUGCUCUUCUAAGUAUCUGCAUACCAUUUUGGAUGGAGAAGAAAGGAUACACUUCAUUACAGAUUUUAUAUGUAUUUCCCCUUUAAAGCUCACAGCACAUGACUGUGCCAAUAGAAAAUGCAGCCAUAAAAGGAAAAAGACUAAAUCUCAGAAGAGAAGUUAAAAAAUGUCACUAAUCAAGUGGGAAAUUUCCCAAUAAAACCUAGAGGGAGUAAGACAGAUACAAAGAGACUACAAGCAGGUUCACUCUGUCAGAAGAGCUGCGUCUAGGUGGUCUCCUGGAAAUGUCUGACAGACAUUGCACUUUGCUGCACCCUAAACAGAAGAGGACUGGAAGCAGCAUUUUUUCCUCACAGAGCUGCUAUAAAAGCAUUUAAUUUGUAGGGCCCUGGUGAAACUCACAAAUGCCAUUUCACACAAGAACACUGGAGAAUGCAGUUAACAGACUUAUUAAUCAAAGUUGUGGCCUGUAUCCUGACCCACCCUUCUGUGACUGAAUCACUGGCAUAUUUGAGGCAAGUUCAUUAUAAAAACAGGUUAAUAUUUGAUGUCUGCCCAGGCAGUCUGAUUAGUGUUCUUUGGAAUGCCAGAUCACACAGCCCUGGUUUGUCAGUGGUAAGAAGGACAGGCCAGGGAGUGCAGUGGAAAGUUUGUAACAAUGGCAGGUGAAAGAAGUGCUGGCAU